rnacentral:misc_RNA from 1 species
GGAGGAGGUUUUAGAGAAGGAAGAUUAGCUGCUGGAGGAUCAUUACCUGGCCAAACCCAGAUCAUUCCUUCUUUCUCGAAACAUGGCAAAGAUUUUAUUUUCACAUUUAGCAAUCGCGUUGAUGGCAUUUUCUCACAUUUGCCAUCUGUUGAGUAUUCCCAACCAUGGUAAGGACACUGGACUCGGCCGUCAUUGACAGAACCGAGGUGAAGAGGGCAUGCCCUAUGAGCACAUGUGUUCCGUAUGCAUCCAGGUUUCCCAUCCUUUCCUCGGAAAAGAACCCAUGGUUCU